AUCUUCUGGGAGCCUAACUGACCUGAGCAAUUAUUCAUCAUGCAUGCAUAGAUAACUUGCUGAAAUGUAAGUGGAUCGGUUUUCAGUAGAAUUUCAUUAGAACUCAGAACUUUUUAGCGGCCCUGGAACUGUGACUGGUCAUCGGUGCGUUUGUUGGACUGGGUGUUAUGUGUCUGUGUUCUUCCAGGUGUAAGGAGCUGGUUUUGGCCACCGUCAGGGCAUUCUUUGACCUCAUUGACCCUGACACCCGACAGAUUACAGAAGACCCUGCACGCAGGAUGGCUGUUCUUAGGCACCACUUUGUCAGGCACCCUGUCAGGUUGCUGGCCGAGCAGGAUGAUACAGUGGUCACCUUCCCAGGGUCACCAGAGUUGUGGACAGAGGUCCAUACACCCAGACUGUCCUACAGCUCCCCCAAGG